AACGCAGGCCGCACCUUGCAAUAUCACUCUGUGCUAUUACAAGGUAUCUACGUAUGAGUGUCAGCCCAAUAUCAUUUUGGUUCAAGAAACUAGUGGCAUACUUUCUUUAAAAGAUUGCUUCUUUUCCGAAAGGAUUUGAUGUUGUCAUGAAAACUCUUGAAUACACUUUAUAAUAAUGCGAGAAAUCGUAUUUUUAAAAUGUCUGGCCUCAUAUGUGGAAGGUUACCCGCUGGAUUUAA
rnacentral:misc_RNA from 1 species